rnacentral:rRNA from 1 species
UCGCAACCGGGAGCGCGGCGCGGCCACUGCCGUAAAACGCCCAACUUCUCCAAGAGUUGACCUCGAAUCAGGUAGGACUACCCGCUGAACUUAAGCAUAUCAAUAAGCGGAGGAAAAGAAACCAACAGGGAUUGCCCCAGUAACGGCGAGUGAAGCGGCAACAGCUCAAAUUUGAAAUCUGGCCCCCCGGGGCCCGAGUUGUAAUUUGCAGAGGAUGCUUUUGGCGAGGCGCCUUCCGAGUUCCCUGGAACGGGACGCCACAGAGGGUGAGAGCCCCGUCUGGUCGGAUGCCGAGCCUCUGUAAAGCUCCUUCGACGAGUCGAGUAGUUUGGGAAUGCUGCUCUAAAUGGGAGGUAUAUGUCUUCUAAAGCUAAAUAUUGGCCAGAGACCGAUAGCGCACAAGUAGAGUGAUCGAAAGAUGAAAAGCACUUUGAAAAGAGGGUUAAAUAGUACGUGAAAUUGUUGAAAGGGAAGCGCUCAUGACCAGACUUGGGCCCGGUGAAUCAUCCAGCGUUCUCGCUGGUGCACUUUGCCGGGCUCAGGCCAGCAUCAGUUUGCCCCGGGGGAUAAAGGCUCUGGGAAUGUGGCUCCUCCGGGAGUGUUAUAGCC